CAUAAAAAAUUAUUUACGUU
rnacentral:snRNA from 1 species